GCGCGGCCUCCGCCGAGUCCGACGCGUUCGGAGCCGGGGACCCACCAUGUUCCUGGGGUGAAUCGGUCCCGUACGCAGUACGGGACGGUAGGGCAGCCUUCCGACGUACCCGCCCGAACCCGACAGCUAACCCGGUAGGCGGUCCACGGAAGGAGUC
rnacentral:sRNA from 2 species